AUCACAUUCACACGAUUAUGAUACAGACAGUGAAUGAAACGAAUGCAGUGGUUAUACUGAUUAUACUUAAAGUGACGAUACUACUUAUAGAUCUACCAGUUGAUAAACAUCAUCAUCAUAGAUAAUAAUCUACAUCUAUAAUCAUAGUGCCCUUUAUUUAGUCAAGAUAGUGGAACGUAAACUCGAAGGUUUAAUACAAUACCACGUUAUUAACAAGUAGAACCAUGGCAACCAGUUCUGAUGAUGUACCAGAAUGGCUCAAGGAUCAUACUUAUACUAUUUCCACUCUCUGGGCAUCCAUUCAAUAUUUAAUUUAUGUUUGGAAAUGCAAGAAAAAGGCAUGCAUUCCUGAAAAGUCAAUGAUUGGUUGCACCUCUUAAAGAUAACUUUCUGUUAUGAGAAAAGAUGAGAUUCUUGGACUCCUGCAUAGCACCACCAGAAAGGAAAAUCCCAUCAUGUUGCAAAAUAAAAGUCUCGGACCAAUUUUAAUUUAUAUAUAUUAUACUGUAAGCUGUAUACAUAUUUAUGUAUAUCCUGUCAUUCAGCCAACAGGUUUGGAUUUAGUAUUUCUUUAAAUCUGUUUGAUAUUGUACUUGAAAACUAUUAAUCUGAGCCCCAUUAAAACAAGAGGGAGUGCAGUGGGUGAGUGGUAAGGGAAAUUUUACUUUUUUAAAAUUAAAAUAAGAAUCUAACAAAAGUAAACAUAUAAAAUAUGGUGCAUUCUCCUUAAAACUAAAACCUGGUGCAAAGGUUUAAAAUGUUGGCAAAAAAAAAGCAACAUCAAUUAAAUAUUCUUAAUUCCCUUUGCAAAACUUACUGAGAAGAACAUGCAUGUUGUUCCCUCAUAAGUUUCUUGACAGAGGAAAUCUUGUUUAUAUUAGAUUUGAAUUAAGCAAAUUAAGAAAAAAAUUAUAAUCAUUACGGGGUAUUUCAAAUGGUUGUAUCUAAACCUUAUGAAUUAUUUUUCAGUUAUAAGUAUAUUGAAAUGAAUGGAUAAUCAUGAAAUUGUUAAAUAAUUGCUGCUAUCAUUCCAUUGACUAAAGAACCAUAAUUUUUUUUUUAAAUUAAUUUCAAAAUUAAUUAAUUUUCAAGCAGAGUUCACAUAGAUCUUGAGUGAAAUUUUUCUUUUUUUGACUAAUGCUUCAAUUUUAUUGUAUCAUUAGUUUUUUAUUUUUAUUACCCAGAAUAUUUAAAAAAUGAGUACACUAUUUUCAUGUAAUAAUGUAACUUGGUAUUCACACAUCAAAAUACGCUAUAAUCUUUAGGCCAUAUAGAUUAGUAUAAAUAUAAAUUAACUUGCUUAAAUACAUUGUAAAUGUAUAUUGUUUGGAUAAGAAUAAAGUUUUUCUGUAGACAA